rnacentral:rRNA from 1 species
GAGUUCAUAUCGACGGCGGUGUUUGGCACCUCGAUGUCGGCUCAUCUCAUCCUGGGGCUGAAGCAGGUCCCAAGGGUAUGGCUGUUCGCCAUUUAAAGAGGUACGCGAGCUGGGUUUAGAACGUCGUGAGACAGUUCGGUCCCUAUCUACCGUGGGCGUUGGAAAUUUGAGAGGAUCUGCUCCUAGUACGAGAGGACCAGAGUGGACGAACCUCUGGUGUUCCGGUUGUUUCGCCAGAAGCAUCGCCGGGUAGCUACGUUCGGAUGGGAUAACCGCUGAAAGCAUCUAAGCGGGAAGCCCACCUCAAGAUGAGAUUUCCCUAAAGAGCCGUUGUAGACGACGACGUUGAUAGGUUGGGUGUGGAAGUGUAGUGAUACAUGUAGCUAACCAAUACUAAUUGCUCGUUUGGCUUGACCAU